UGUGGCUCAGUCGGUAGAGCAUGAGACUCUUAAUCUCAGGGUUGUGGGUUCAAGGCCCACACUGGGCAAAA